AAAAAGUUAAGUAAUUAAUUUAACAAAAAAAAAAUUAGAGUAGAUGCUCAGAAGUUUUGAUAAGGUUAGCAAAUUGUUGGUACACUGACAAUUAUAGAGGGUUAUAGAAGACUAAUGAAGCUUAUGAAUUUUAGACUAAUUUCACUAUUUUCAAUUUUCUGAUAUAUUUACACAAAUUUUUCAACAGGUAGGAAAUGGAUCGUCGGAUCGGGUUGAUCCAACGGUUGCGAAGGGCUUUCUUUAGGAGGCCAUUUUUCUCAUUUUUUCUUGCCUGCGUCUCCAUGGGACCACCUGCUUAAAGCUUUCGCAAAUGCUUGCCUGCAAUUAUAAAUAAAAAAUAAAAAAUAAGUAAUACUAAUUAUUAUUUUUAGGCAAAAAUACUAAUUAAAUAUUGUGUGACACACCCUAACCCGAAGACUAGGACGUGCUGGCCGUCACGUGAGUGUGACGUAACCAUAACGCAAGCGGAAACGAUUUAAUAAUAAAAUACGAGUCAACGAAAACCACUAAUUGCAGUUAUUUACAACCGAGCAUUCUAUGUGCAUAAGAGUGUACUAAACACACAUAAACAGAGCAUAAGCAUCUAGGUGCAGUCAAGUAGGAACAUAACUAAUUUACAACACCCUCGGGUGAAUCCUACAUUUAUUUAGUCUGUCAGAACGCCGAAGCAGUCUCGUAGGCCACCAACGCCUCAACUAUCAACUAGAACCUGGAGGGGCGAAAAACAGAAAACGUGAGUGGGCGAAAAUAAAGCUUUUCCAAAACAUUUCAUAAAUCCACAUUUAUAACCCCUUUUUGGAAAACCUGUAUACUUUCCCAGAAAAAUAGUAUAUAGCAUAUAUAUCUCAACUGUCUCAAUCAUCAAACUUAUAACAGAUUCAAUAAAGAAUGUACCAUGCCAAUUUCAACAGUGUAGUAUGAAUGCAUUAACAUAAUAUAAUCAGGUAAAAGAAAUAAUCAAUCGGGAGGCCCUCUAAUAGCCCUGAACGAUUGAACCUAGAGCUCAACAUCUAUCAAUCUCACUCUCUGCCGGAGUCACUCCGCGUGACCUGUCCGGCCUUCUGCACAUAAGUCGGAACCACCUAAUGUAGUCUGAACGACUCAUGGUAAUAUUCGCUCUAGUGCUUCUCUCAUCAAUCAUCUGUAUACAAUAACCUAAGGUCACCCACCAGUCAUAAUCUCACUAACACUCUACGACUGGCCCGUCGUACCCACUCCGCGUGGACUGUACGACCAGCAUCUACUUGGAUCCAAGGCGAGCGUGCGAUGCGGUGAAUACUAUAAGCACUAAACCAUGGUGCAGGAUAUGAGCUCAAUAUAUCAUCAUCCUCAACAUAACAGUAAUUAAAUACUUACCUGUGCGUCCACAGCACCAUCAUACAUAUAUGCAUCAUACGACAGUUCAUAAUAUCCAUAACAUUCUAUGCAUGGCAAUCACAUCAUAUUUCAUUUCAAUAUACUUUUCAUUUAAAUUUGAUUUCUGGGGAAAUCGAGUAUAUAGGUAUAUAUAUAGAAAGCAAUGCCCACUCACUGGUAUGUCGCCGGGUCGUAACCCCCUUGACGCCCCUGGAUGUGCUCGUCCUCGUUAAAGGUUCCACCUAAAAGUGAAAUAACUUAAAACAAUCAUUUAACGCACAAAUAACGCACCUAAACCAAACUAGGUAAUAAAUUCUUCAUACGAUGCUCAAAUUGGGUAUAUGAAUAUACCACAGUGACCUACACAACCUCAGGAUCAUCCCCAUAUUUUUAAAAUAAUUUUUGGAGUCCUCACGCGCCCCCACGCGCCUGACGUGGCACGGACCUACGCGCGGCCCACGCGCAGCCACGUGCCAGGCACACUGACGGCACAGUGAACGGCGUUAGGGAAUAUUCCGUUAAAUCCUAGCAUUUUCCGUUAAAUAUCCAACGGUAACGGUAACGGCGUUGGCAUAUUCCGUCAGUUUUGACGGAAUAUUCCCUGUCUUCUCCGGCGAGUCGCCGGUCGCCGGCGACUGUUCGCCGGUUUCUGGAAAAUUUUCAAAUCCACUAUUCUCCUUCGUUUUUCAACCAAUUUCUUCGCAUUUUAUACCAAAAUGAAGCAUUUAACAUGUACUAACACGUUGGAAGGGUUUUAAGGCCUAAAAACAACAAGAUCAAACCUUUCAAAAUUCUUCAAUUUCGGCCAAACUCGAACCCGACGAUCCCGACGUCCAUUUUGUUCAAACGAGGCACUCCGAGCCUCCUUGGAACUUCCUAAGACUCGUGGUGAUCUUUGUUUAACCUAAAACACAACCAAAAUUAAGUUCGUGAACAGUGCCAUUACACGGGGUGUUUUAAAACUAGGAUUUCAGAAAUAGAACUUACCUAAAACUGGUAUUCCCGUGCUCGUGAGGUCCUAAGGAGUGUCGUGGUGAUCUUAGAUCGGACGUUGGUGUAGGAUUGUGAUUGUUCUUGGUGUUUGUCCGAGAGCUUGAGAGAGAGUUCGAGAGUAAGAGAGAGAGAGUGAUACUGAAAUGAAGAAAGAGAGAGAGAGUGAAGGGAGAUGAGAGAGAGACAUCCCACGGGUUUUGGGGAGGGAUUUAGGGGGUAGGACCCCACCCUAAGUCCAAACACAAAUUAAAUUAACACAUACUAAUAUAAUUCUAACCCUAGUUUAGGAUCUUAGUGUAAAACAAAUACCAAAUUUACGCACCUUAAUCCCGUUUAAGGGCGUUUUAGUAAUUUCACGUCCUCGGUAUUUAGUAACUCUGGGACGGGCUGUGACAAUCUCCCCUCCUUAUAGAAUUUCGUCCCCGAAAUUCCAAUCACUAACCAGAACAUCAAAAGUCAUAGAAUAACCUCGGAUACAUAUCUCUCAUCCGAUCUUCUGUCUCCCAAGUAGCUUCUUCAGCUGAAUGGUUUCUCCACAAUACUUUCACCAAGCUCACGGUCUUAUUCCUCAAGGUCUUAUCUUUCCAAUCCAGUAUAGUCACUGGUUUCCUCAUCGUACGUCAAGUCCGGAUUAAUUUCCAAUGGUUGAGGAGGAAUCACAUGUGAAGGAUCUGACACAUAAUGCCGAAGCAUCGAGACAUGGAACACAUUAUGUACCUUAGACAACUCUGGAGGUAGCUCCAACCUGUAAGCAACUUCACCAAUCCUCUCAGUGAUCUCAUAAGGUCCAAUGUACCUGGGACUUAGCUUUCCUUUCUUUCCAAAGCGAACUACACCUCUCCAAGGCGAUAAUUUCAGAAAAACAUAGUCGCCCACAUUAUACAUUCUGUCCGUGGUAUGUCGAUCCGCUAGGCUCUUUUGUCUAUCCUGGGCCACUUUCAGGUUAGAUUUAAUUACCUGAAUAUUCUGAGUAGUCUCAUCCACAAUCUCUGGCCCUUCAAGUAUUCUUUCACCAACCUCUGACCAACAUAAUGGCGUACGGCAAGCUUUACCAUAAAGUGCUUCAAAUGGAGACAUUCCAAUACUCGAAUGAAAACUAUUAUUAUAGGCAAACUCCAUCAAAUCCAAACGAUCAUGCCAAGAAUCACCAAAUUGCAUCACAGAGGAUCUCAACAUAUCCUCGAGUGUCUGAAUAGUUCUCUCUGACUGACCAUCUGUCUGUGGAUGAUAAGCUGUACUGUAAAGCAAUCUAGUACCCAAAGCUUCUUGAAAAGCUAUCCAAAACUUAGAAGUAAAUCUUGGAUCUCGAUCAGAAAUAAUAUUCACUGGGACACCAUGAUACUUUACAACCUUCGAUAUGAAUAACUGAGCCAACUUAUUUAAAGAGUACUUCUCCCUUACUGGAAUAAAAUGUGCUGAUUUGGUAAGUCGAUCUACAACCACCCAAAUGCCAUCAAAACCAUUUUGUGUACGUGGCAACUUAUACACAAAAUCCAUCGUUAUAUUCUCCCAUUUCCACUGGGGAACGGGAAGUGGUUGCAAUCUCCCAAACGGCUUCUUUCUUUCAGCCUUAACCUGCUGGCAGACAAUACACCUACUCACAUACUCCGCAAUCUCCCUCUUCAUACCCGGCCAAUAGUAGAAUGGUCGAAUGGUAUGAUACAUUUUAGUUCCUCCUGGGUGCAUAGCAUAAGCCGAACAAUGUGCUUCAUCCAAGAUUUCUUUCUUCAGUUCCUCAUUAUUAGGCACAUACAUCCUGUUCUCUUGCAUAAGCAUACCAUCUGAUCCUCGGAUCUUGAGAUCUUUCUUCUUCCCUUCAUUUCUUAAAUUGAUCAAUUCUUGAAUUUCUUCAUCCAACGAUUGAGCUGCAAGCACCCGAUCAAUUAAAAUUGGCUUGACUUGAAAAUUGGCAAGAAAAGCUUCACUUUGCUCUUCCCAUUCUAAUUCUACUCCAGUAGAUCUCAACUCUGCCAGAAGAGGAACACGACUGGUAUACAAAGCAUUAAGUCGCCCUUGAGGCUUCCUACUCAGAGCAUCAGCUACCACAUUUGCACGACCCGGAUGGUACUCAUGUGCAGACAUAUUCCUCUGCUUCAGACUGGUGAAUUCCUGUUUCUUGCGAUCUAUAUAUUCCGGAGGAACAAAUCUCUUCAUAAAAUUUUCCUUAAAUACCUCCCAUUCGGCUGCCCUUUCAGGUGUCAUGUGCCUCGACUGAUUUAUCCACCACGCAGCUGGCUCACGGCCCAAAAACCAGGUGGUGGUCUCCACCCAUCUAUUAGCUGGCAGGUUUCCCUGACUUUGCAUCACUUGAAAGGUCUGCUCAAUUCGAUCCAACCACUUUUCUGCCCCUUCAUAACCUUCAUUUCCCUCAAAAGUUUCCAGUUUCAGAUUAUACAUCGUCUCUACGGGCGUUCUCUGAGGAGGACGGAUAUUAGCCUGAAAAGCUUGAGCCAUUGCUGCCCCUAACUGAGUUAUAUCGGGGAAAUUAGGCUCAGCAGCACGGCGAGGAUCUCUACGAGGCGGCAUAAUUCUGACAGAAAACAUAACAAAAUCAAUAGAAGAACUCAUUAGUUAUACAGGACUGCAACCUAUACUCUGAUACCAAACUGACACACCCUAACCCGAAGACUAGGACGUGCUGGCCGUCACGUGAGUGUGACGUAACCAUAACGCAAGCGGAAACGAUUUAAUAAUAAAAUACGAGUCAACGAAAACCACUAAUUGCAGUUAUUUACAACCGAGCAUUCUAUGUGCAUAAGAGUGUACUAAACACACAUAAACAGAGCAUAAGCAUCUAGGUGCAGUCAAGUAGGAACAUAACUAAUUUACAACACCCUCGGGUGAAUCCUACAUUUAUUUAGUCUGUCAGAACGCCGAAGCAGUCUCGUAGGCCACCAACGCCUCAACUAUCAACUAGAACCUGGAGGGGCGAAAAACAGAAAACGUGAGUGGGCGAAAAUAAAGCUUUUCCAAAACAUUUCAUAAAUCCACAUUUAUAACCCCUUUUUGGAAAACCUGUAUACUUUCCCAGAAAAAUAGUAUAUAGCAUAUAUAUCUCAACUGUCUCAAUCAUCAAACUUAUAACAGAUUCAAUAAAGAAUGUACCAUGCCAAUUUCAACAGUGUAGUAUGAAUGCAUUAACAUAAUAUAAUCAGGUAAAAGAAAUAAUCAAUCGGAGGCCCUCUAAUAGCCCUGAACGAUUGAACCUAGAGCUCAACAUCUAUCAAUCUCACUCUCUGCCGGAGUCACUCCGCGUGACCUGUCCGGCCUUCUGCACAUAAGUCGGAACCACCUAAUGUAGUCUGAACGACUCAUGGUAAUAUUCGCUCUAGUGCUUCUCUCAUCAAUCAUCUGUAUACAAUAACCUAAGGUCACCCACCAGUCAUAAUCUCACUAACACUCUACGACUGGCCCGUCGUACCCACUCCGCGUGGACUGUACGACCAGCAUCUACUUGGAUCCAAGGCGAGCGUGCGAUGCGGUGAAUACUAUAAGCACUAAACCAUGGUGCAGGAUAUGAGCUCAAUAUAUCAUCAUCCUCAACAUAACAGUAAUUAAAUACUUACCUGUGCGUCCACAGCACCAUCAUACAUAUAUGCAUCAUACGACAGUUCAUAAUAUCCAUAACAUUCUAUGCAUGGCAAUCACAUCAUAUUUCAUUUCAAUAUACUUUUCAUUUAAAUUUGAUUUCUGGGGAAAUCGAGUAUAUAGGUAUAUAUAUAGAAAGCAAUGCCCACUCACUGGUAUGUCGCCGGGUCGUAACCCCCUUGACGCCCCUGGAUGUGCUCGUCCUCGUUAAAGGUUCCACCUAAAAGUGAAAUAACUUAAAACAAUCAUUUAACGCACAAAUAACGCACCUAAACCAAACUAGGUAAUAAAUUCUUCAUACGAUGCUCAAAUUGGGUAUAUGAAUAUACCACAGUGACCUACACAACCUCAGGAUCAUCCCCAUAUUUUUAAAAUAAUUUUUGGAGUCCUCACGCGCCCCCACGCGCCUGACGUGGCACGGACCUACGCGCGGCCCACGCGCAGCCACGUGCCAGGCACACUGACGGCACAGUGAACGGCGUUAGGGAAUAUUCCGUUAAAUCCUAGCAUUUUCCGUUAAUAUCCAACGGUAACGGUAACGGCGUUGGCAUAUUCCGUCAGUUUUGACGGAAUAUUCCCUGUCUUCUCCGGCGAGUCGCCGGUCGCCGGCGACUGUUCGCCGGUUUCUGGAAAAUUUUCAAAUCCACUAUUCUCCUUCGUUUUUCAACCAAUUUCUUCGCAUUUUAUACCAAAAUGAAGCAUUUAACAUGUACUAACACGUUGGAAGGGUUUUAAGGCCUAAAAACAACAAGAUCAAACCUUUCAAAAUUCUUCAAUUUCGGCCAAACUCGAACCCGACGAUCCCGACGUCCAUUUUGUUCAAACGAGGCACUCCGAGCCUCCUUGGAACUUCCUAAGACUCGUGGUGAUCUUUGUUUAACCUAAAACACAACCAAAAUUAAGUUCGUGAACAGUGCCAUUACACGGGUGUUUUAAAACUAGGAUUUCAGAAAUAGAACUUACCUAAAA
rnacentral:lncRNA from 1 species